GCGUGGCUGGCUCAGUCGGUGGAGCACGUGACUUUUAAUCUCAGGGUCGUGAGUUCAAGCCCCAUGGCGGGCG
rnacentral:tRNA from 1 species